rnacentral:rRNA from 1 species
UACGUAGGGUGCGAGCGUUGUCCGGAAUUAUUGGGCGUAAAGGGCUCGUAGGCGGUUUGUCGCGUCGGGAGUGAAAACCUCGGGCUUAACUCGGGGCUUGCUUUCGAUACGGGCAGACUGGAGGUAUGCAGGGGAGGAACGGAAUUCCUGGUGUAGCGGUGAAAUGCGCAGAUAUCAGGAGGAACACCGGUGGCGAAGGCGGUUCUCUGGGCAUGACCUGACGCUGAGGAGCGAAAGUGUGGGGAGCGAACAGG